CAGCAAGGCUAGCCAAACUGGGCAGAGAUCUCUGAAAUGAACACACAUACUGAAAGUUCACUUUCGAGACAGGAGCUUGGAAGAAAUUUCUCUGGAGAAUUUCACCAGAGACUACAGCCAUGGGAUUUAAGGAACAAACUCUUUUGACAUGGAUGGUUCCCGCUCACCUGAUGGUGAAACCUGUGAGGAAAGUUCCUUGCUCAUGUGCUCAGAACUUCCCAGGGGCUACUGAUCUCUCUUCUUUUAAAUCUGAGCAAACACCGAAGGCUCUUCAGGCAGUUAAAGGACGUCCCACCAUGAAGCACAAAGGCCAACACCAGGAACCGAAACAGAAGGAGACAGACGGGAAAAUGAAAAGGCAUUUCCGAUUUCCUAUCAGCUCUUCUAUGGAACCAAAACGGCAUUCUUGCUGGUCACACUCGGGCUGGCGCCUGAGUUAAUGGAUGGAAUUUGGCUAGACUGCCCUGCCCAGCACCAGUGUUAUGAACUCUUCCUCUGAGCCAUCAGUAUGUGCAGUUUCUAACCUUGCAGGCCAAACCCAGCACAAGAAGAACAAAAAGGGAUAGAAGGACGCACCCACUGAGAAACCCAGAUUGCAAUCAUUCUCAGCCAUUUUCAGCGAUGAGAAAAAGGUGUCUCCGUGUAGUGUGGACCCGUUCAGCACUUAUGGCUUUUCAAUUGGGAACUGACAUGAAAGCCAGGGAGCCAGGGAGUCUUUUUAGCUCUGAUAAAACAUGAGGUUAGAGCUGCUUACAUUUUUUUUUCAUUUUAAAUUCCCUGGGCAGUCCUAGGAGCAGGGGCAUGCGUUACUUUCAAACAAUAAUCUUUAUUGUUUGCACAGCACACGAUCAUCCAGUUAAUUAGAAAAACAUUUUUCCCCAAAUUAAAUUUCCCUAGAAAAACAAUGAUUUCAAUUAAGGGCAAAAGUCUCCCCCCACACCCCAAUAUCAGGGACGCUUUCUUGCACCUACUCCUUCUAGAAGAUUAGAAGCAAAGUUGGAAUCCGGAGGCUGUAUUUAUCUGUUUAUUGUUAGAGUCUGCCAUCCACAAAAGUAGCCUGAACUAAUUUACC